rnacentral:rRNA from 1 species
UACGAAGGGAGCUAGCGUUGUUCGGAAUUACUGGGCGUAAAGCGCACGUAGGCGGAUAUUUAAGUCAGGGGGUGAAAUCCCAGAGCUCAACUCUGGAACUGCCUUUGAUACUGGGUAUCUUGAGUAUGGAAGAGGUGAGUGGAAUUCCGAGUGUAGAGGUGAAAUUCGUAGAUAUUCGGAGGAACACCAGUGGCGAAGGCGGCUCACUGGUCCAUUACUGACGCUGAGGUGCGAAAGCGUGGGGAGCAAACAGG